AUGGAAACUGAAACUUCCACUGCACCUCAGCUGGCAGCCCUUGCCGACACAGACAUCAAUUGGGACAGGUUGGAUAAGGCCAGAUUUCAUAUAAUAGGAGCUAUUCUUUUCACUCUUCAGUCAGCGUUAAUACAUCCAACAGCAGUAGUGAAGACACGAAUGCAAGUUGCUGGAUCUCAAUUGAAUGGGUUCUCUGUAUUUAGGCAUAUAAUUAGGAGUGACGGCAUCCCAGGCAUCUUUAGAGGCUUUGGCACAUCUGCUGUGGGAUCAUUGCCAGGUAGAGUCCUGGCUUUGACUUCACUUGAAGUAUCAAAAGAUAUGAUGCUCAAAUAUACACAAGCUGUGAAUAUGCCUGAAUCAACUCGUGCCGCUCUAGCAAAUGGCUUUGCUGGCAUGGUCUCCAACUUAGUCUCAUGUGUCUACUUUGUGCCUCUCGAUGUGAUUUGCCAGAGACUUAUGGUACAGGGAAUUCCAGGGACUAAGCCUUGUGUUGGUCCAUUUGAUGCUAUACGAGAAGUAGUAAAAGCUGAAGGAAUUCGUGGGAUGUACAGAGGAUUUGGAUUAACUGUUGUGACUCAGUCUCCUGCACAGGCUCUUUGGUGGGGUGCCUAUGGUGCUGCUCAGCACAUCAUUUGGAGGAAUCUCGGUUAUAGUGACAACGUGGACAAGAAACCGUCACACAUGCAGAUGGUUGCGGUCCAGGCUACAGCUGGAUUGGCAGCUGGUGCCUGUUCGUCAGUAAUUACAACUCCCAUAGAUACUGUUAAAACACGACUUCAGGUUAUCGAUGAUUAUGGUGUUGGGAGACCUUCUGUACUAAAGACCACAAAAACGCUUCUCAGAGAAGAUGGAUGGAAAGGAUUCUAUAGAGGCUUUGGACCUAGGUUCCUCAAUAUGUCUUUCUAUGGAACAACGAUGAUCGUCACCUAUGAGAUAAUCAAGAGAUUAUCUAUUAAGCAAGUUUGAUCAUUCGGACUCCAAACCCCAAAGGGCAUCGAUAUUUUCGGGAACUUUUUGAACUACUAACAGAGCAGUCAAAGAAUAUGUGUGAGAACAAUUCAUCGAUACCAGUGGUGCACAUCAAGAAAGGCAUAGGUACUCCAUUUCUCGAGUCGUUCAAUUGUUGUUAACCUUCCAUGGAGAGCUACCCACAUAAUGAAUUGAUGUCAUACCUGACUGACCACAAGCUAAUUUCUUCCACUAGACUUCAGGAUAGAUCAGGAGAAGAGCUUAUAAGCUUUUUAAUUCAUGAACUUAUCUGCAAGGGUCUACGGAAGUAACUCUGUCUUAAUCUCCUCAUCUCGUAACCAGCUUCGUGCCUCGAAAAGGUUUUUGACAGUCCAGCAUGCUUGCCAUGGUAUCGGACGUUCUCAAUUGAUCAAUUUCGUAUAUAGGAAACCAUGUGUCCGCUGCACCCAUAAUGUCUCCUCCUUAGCAACCACCGCCAAUAGAAGUUUAAGGAUAGCGGCCUUGUUCCAUAUUGUAACAGUCGAUUAGAUUUUACCCCGGCAUACACAUCUUCUCCCAGACGAUGAGGGCUUUUCUAGAGGUUUCACAGCUUACCUUUCAAUGAAAUGUGAGAAAAAUACUAGUAAACCAUUCAGUGAUUCUAAAACCUUCCACUAUAUGACAAGAACUUGGUAGUCCAACACCUUAUCCUAGUGAAUGCAGGUAAGACAGGACGAGAAAGAGGCGAAAAAUUGGCUAGAUGGAAAUAAAAUGGGAAAAUGAGGUGAAGAGGGAGUCAAGUAGGAAUUGAAGAAAAGAAAUCCCAGCUCUGUAUCCGACGCAGUAAGGGGAAUCAUUUCUCGACACUUGAAGCUGCCUAAACAGAAGACUACGUAUCCUCUCCGGUUCAUGGAGAGGAAGUUGUCAAAAUAGGAAGGUCUGUUUCGCCUCUGCGUCACAGAUCUGCAAGCCGUGUUUUUGCAGAAGUAUAAAUGGACUUCGGGUUUUGUUAUUAUAAUUAUUUUUUUUUUCUAGUUUUUGGGAGAACGACUACUUGGAUGAUAUAUGUUUACUCCAACUUUAGGGUUCACUCAUGUGCUUUUCAUCUAUUCGAUUUCUUUUAUGAUUAUUGAAC